rnacentral:rRNA from 1 species
UUGGAGGGCAAGUCUGGUGCCAGCAGCCGCGGUAAUUCCAGCUCCAAUAGCGUAUAUUAAAGUUGUUGCAGUUAAAAAGCUCGUAGUUGAAUUUCGGGAUUGACGUAAUGGUCGUGCCUUAAGGGGUAUGAACUGUUACUGUUGAUUUCUCACCUUCUGGAGAAACUUGAUGUCCUUAAUUGGGUGUCUUGCGGAUCCAGGACCUUUACCUUGAAAAAAUUAGAGUGUUUAAAGCAGGCAUUUUGCUCGAAUACAUUAGCAUGGAAUAAUAGAAUAGGACGGCAUGGUUCUAUUUUGUUGGUUUCUAGGAUCGACGUAAUGAUUAAUAGGGAUAGUUGGGGGCAUUAGUAUUCAAUUGUCAGAGGUGAAAUUCUUGGAUUUAUUGAAGACUAACUACUGCGAAAGCAUUUGCCAAGGAUGUUUUCAUUAAUCAAGAACGAAAGUUAGGGGAUCGAAGACGAUCAGAUACCGUCGUAGUCUUAACCAUAAACUAUGCCGACUAGGGGAUCGGGACGAUGUUAAUUUUUAAUGUACUCGUUCGGGC